GGAAUGCGCUGAUUUUAAUAACCAGCCCUUCUAAAAUCUAUUUCAUGACUGUCACCUAACACAGCAGUUUGGCCUAAUAGUUUUGACAUUGAUUUGUCAAAUCUUUGGCUUACAUUUGCUUCAGGUUGUCAGUUUUGAUAAUACAGAAAACUCAUUCAAAUUUUGAUCUGAAAUCAGGUAGGGCUACCCGCUGAACUUAA
rnacentral:misc_RNA from 1 species